GUGUCAGCCGCCGCGGUAAAACGUAGGAGGCGAGCGUUAUCCGGAUUUACUGGGCGUAAAGCGCGUGCAGGCGGUUUGGUAAGUUGGAUGUGAAAGCUCCUGGCUUAACUGGGAGAGGUCGUUCAAUACUACCAGACUUGAGUGUGGGAGAGGGAGGUGGAAUUCCGGGUGUAGUGGUGAAAUGCGUAGAUAUCCGGAGGAACACCAGUGGCGAAAGCGGCCUCCUGGCCCAAUACUGACGCUCAGACGCGAAAGCUAGGGGAGCGAACGGGAUUAGAUACCCCCGUAGUCC
rnacentral:rRNA from 1 species